rnacentral:rRNA from 1 species
CAAAGGAAUUGACGGGGACCCGCACAAGCGGCGGAGCAUGCGGAUUAAUUCGAUGCAACGCGAAGAACCUUACCAAGGCUUGACAUAUACGAGAACGGGCCAGAAAUGGUCAACUCUUUGGACACUCGUAAACAGGUGGUGCAUGGUUGUCGUCAGCUCGUGUCGUGAGAUGUUGGGUUAAGUCCCGCAACGAGCGCAACCCUCGUUCUAU